rnacentral:rRNA from 1 species
CCUUAGAUGUUCUGGGCCGCACGCGCGCUACACUGACGGAGCCAGCGAGUACUCCCUUGGCCGGAAGGCCCGGGUAAUCUUGUUAAACUCCGUCGUGCUGGGGAUAGAGCAUUGCAAUUAUUGCUCUUCAACGAGGAAUCCCUAGUAAGCGCAAGUCAUCAGCUUGCGUUGAUUACGUCCCUGCCCUUUGUACACACCGCCCGUCGCUACUACCGAUUGAAUGGCUCAGUGAGGCGUCCGGACUGGCCCAGAGAGGUGGGCAACUACCACUCAGGGCCGGAAAGCUCUCCAAACUCGGUCAUUUAGAGGAAGUAAAAGUCGUAACAAGGUCUCCGUAGGUGAACCCUGCG